CCUACGGGAGGCAGCAGUGGGGAAUAUUGCACAAUGGGGGAAACCCUGAUGCAGCGACGCCGCGUGAGUGAAGAAGUAUUUCGGUAUGUAAAGCUCUAUCAGCAGGAAAGAAAAUGACGGUACCUGACUAAGAAGCCCCGGCUAACUACGUGCCAGCAGCCGCGGUAAUACGUAGGGGGCAAGCGUUAUCCGGAUUUACUGGGUGUAAAGGGAGCGUAGACGGUGAAGCAAGUCUGAAGUGAAAGGCGGGGGCUCAACCCCCGGACUGCUUUGGAAACUGUUUGACUGGAGUGCAGGAGAGGUAAGUGGAAUUCCUAGUGUAGCGGUGAAAUGCGUAGAUAUUAGGAGGAACACCAGUGGCGAAGGCGGCUUACUGGACUGUAACUGACGUUGAGGCUCGAAAGCGUGGGGAGCAAACAGGAUUAGAUACCC
rnacentral:rRNA from 1 species